rnacentral:antisense_RNA from 1 species
CGCCCUCGAAGUAGAAGAGCACAUUCUGGUAGAGGGCGAACCACUUCUCGUGCCAGCGGCUCGCCUCGGCCGUCUUCUUACUCAGGAAGCCGCGCUUGGUGCCCUCCUUGCGCGCCAGAAAGGCCAGGCUCAGCUUUCUCAUCACUAAACUGGAGAUACAGGAGUUGGAGACUUGGAAUUCCCUUUGGUGCAGAAACUAUUCCUUCAUGAGAAGAAGUCCUUAAAUAGGCUCUUUAG